GAUGAACGCUGGCGGCGUGCCUAAUACAUGCAAGUCGAGCGAACAGACGAGGAGCUUGCUCCUCUGACGUUAGCGGCGGACGGGUGAGUAACACGUGGAUAACCUACCUAUAAGACUGGGAUAACUUCGGGAAACCGGAGCUAAUACCGGAUAACAUGUUGAACCGCAUGGUUCAACAGUGAAAGACGGUCUUGCUGUCACUUAUAGAUGGAUCCGCGCCGCAUUAGCUAGUUGGUAAGGUAACGGCUUACCAAGGCAACGAUGCGUAGCCGACCUGAGAGGGUGAUCGGCCACACUGGAGCUGAGACACGGUCCAGACUCCUACGGGAGGCAGCAGUAGGGAAUCGUCCGCAAUGGGCGAAAGCCUGACGGAGCAACGCCGCGUGAGUGAUGAAGGUCUUCGGAUCGUAAAACUCUGUUAUUAGGGAAGAACAAAUGUGUAAGUAACUAUGCACGUCUUGACGGUACCUAAUCAGAAAGCCACGGCUAACUACGUG
rnacentral:rRNA from 1 species